rnacentral:rRNA from 1 species
CUGUCACUUAUAGAUGGAUCCGCGCUGCAUUAGCUAGUUGGUAAGGUAACGGCUUACCAAGGCAACGAUGCAUAGCCGACCUGAGAGGGUGAUCGGCCACACUGGAACUGAGACACGGUCCAGACUCCUACGGGAGGCAGCAGUAGGGAAUCUUCCGCAAUGGGCGAAAGCCUGACGGAGCAACGCCGCGUGAGUGAUGAAGGUCUUCGGAUCGUAAAACUCUGUUAUUAGGGAAGAACAUAUGUGUAAGUAACUGUGCACAUCUUGACGGUACCUAAUCAGAAAGCCACGGCUAACUACGUGCCAGCAGCCGCGGUAAUACGUAGGUGGCAAGCGUUAUCCGGAAUUAUUGGGCGUAAAGCGCGCGUAGGCGGUUUUUUAAGUCUGAUGUGAAAGCCCACGGCUCAACCGUGGAGGGUCAUUGGAAACUGGAAAACUUGAGUGCAGAAGAGGAAAGUGGAAUUCCAUGUGUAGCGGUGAAAUGCGCAGAGAUAUGGAGGAACACCAGUGGCGAAGGCGACUUUCUGGUCUGUAACUGACGCUGAUGUGCGAAAGCGUGGGGAUCAAACAGGAUUAGAUACCCUGGUAGUCCACGCCGUAAACGA